rnacentral:rRNA from 1 species
CGCGUAGGUGGUAGUGUAAGUCUGGGGUGGAAUCCCAGGGCUUAACCCUGGAACUGCCUUGGAAACUGCAUUACUUGAGUCAGUGAGGGGAGGGUAGAAUUCCUGGUGUAGCGGUGAAAUGCGUAGAUAUCAGGAGGAAGGCCUGUGGCGAAGGCGGCCCUCUGGCGCUGAACUGACACUGAGGCGCGAAAGCGUGGGAGCAAACAGGAUUAGAUACCCUGGUAGUCCACGCCCUAAACGGUGGGCACUAGGUGUAGGGCUCGUAAGGGUUCUGUGCCGAAGGGAAACCAUUAAGUGCCCCGCCUGGGGAGUACGGCCGCAAGGUUGAA